rnacentral:misc_RNA from 1 species
AUAAAUCUCAAUUACCUAUUCCAAAUAAUCCAUGAACAUUUCAUGGAUUCCAAAUUUCAUACCUUAAUUUCCUCUACCAAUUUAGUUCUUAUACUUUGUAUCUUUGUAUUACUAUUCACAUUACUAUUCACUCAAAUUGUUGACUUUUUAAUACAUAAUAAAUUUAUUGAACCUAAGUUCACUAAGAUACCACAUUUUGCAUUCUAAAGU